GACGAACGCUGGCGGCGUGCUUAACACAUGCAAGUCGAACGGAAAGGCCCUGCUUUUGUGGGGUUCUCGAUUGGCGAACGGGUGAGUAACACGUGAGUAACCUGCCCUUGACUUUGGGAUAACUUCAGGAAACUGGGGCUAAUACCGGAUAGGAGCUCCUGCUGCAUGGUGGGGGUUGGAAAGUUUCGGCGGUUGGGGAUGGACUCGCGGCUUAUCAGCUUGUUGGUGGGGUAGUGGCUUACCAAGGUUUUGACGGGUAGCCGGCCUGAGAGGGUGACCGGCCACAUUGGGCCUGAGAUACGGCCCAGACUCCUACGGGAGGCAGCAGUGGGGAAUAUUGCACAAUGGGCGGAAGCCUGAUGCAGCAACGCCGCGUGCGGGAUGACGGCCUUCGGGUUGUAAACCGCUUUCGCCUGUGACGAAGCGUGAGUGACGGUAAUGGGUAAAGAAGCACCGGCUAACUACGUG
rnacentral:rRNA from 1 species